GAUUCCUCAUCUGAUGGGAAAAACUCUGAUAAGAAAGAACCAAGAGAUAUGCUUUCAAGUUUGGAUGGUUCAUCAGGAGUGGAAAUCACUACGGCUCUAAAGCUGCAGAUGGAGGUGCAAAAGAGACUGCAUGAACAACUGGAGGUGCAGAAACAGCUACAACUUAGAAUAGAAGCUCAAGGUAAGUAUUUGAAGAAAAUAAUCGAAGAGCAACAGCGGUUGAGUGGAGUUCUUUCAGACGUUCCUGGUUCUGGGGUCACUGCUCUUCCAACUGGUGACAACGGCCCAGAAUCUGAUAGCAGGACUGAUCCAGGAACUCCUGCACCGUCAUCUGAGGCUCCUCAUGUUGAUAAGCCUGUAAAUGCACAUACCUCAACCAAGAGCCUUUCUAUGGACGAAUCAUUCUCCUCACAUCAUUCUCCUCUCAGUCCAGACUCUGAUUGCCAAGAAACUUCGCUAAUGGAGAGCCCUAACGGGGAGAGUUCCUCAAAGAAACAACGAGUGGGCAACGUGGCACUUCCACAUCAGAUAUUGGAAUCAAGCGUGAGCCCACCAUACCAGCAGCCACAUUCAGUUUUUAUGAUGAGGGACCAAUUUAAUCAUACAUCAGGAUUAUCUCUUGAUAUCGAGGAUCAUAAAGUUUCUGGUAGCAACAUAUAGUUAUUCGAUAUUCGAUGUCCUGCAUCCU
rnacentral:misc_RNA from 1 species